GACGAACGCUGGCGGCGUGCUUAACACAUGCAAGUCGAACGGAAAGGCCCUGCUUUUGUGGGGUGCUCGAGAGGCGAACGGGUGAGUAACACGUGAGUAACCUGCCCUUGACUUUGGGAUAACUUCAGGAAACUGGGGCUAAUACCGGAUAGGAGCUCCUGCUGCAUGGUGGGGGUUGGAAAGUUUCGGCGGUUGGGGAUGGACUCGCGGCUUAUCAGCUUGUUGGUGGGGUAGUGGCUUACCAAGGCUUUGACGGGUAGCCGGCCUGAGAGGGUGACCGGCCACAUUGGGACUGAGAUACGGCCCAGACUCCUACGGGAGGCAGCAGUGGGGAAUAUUGCACAAUGGGCGGAAGCCUGAUGCAGCAACGCCGCGUGCGGGAUGACGGCCUUCGGGUUGUAAACCGCUUUCGCCUGUGACGAAGCGUGAGUGACGGUAAUGGGUAAAGAAGCACCGGCUAACUACGCG
rnacentral:rRNA from 1 species